UAUUGGACAAUGGGCGAAAGCCUGAUCCAGCCAUGCCGCGUGUGUGAAGAAGGUCUUCGGAUUGUAAAGCACUUUAAGUUGGGAGGAAGGGCAGUUACCUAAUACGUGAUUGUAUUGACGUUACCGACAGAAUAAGCACCGGCUAACUCUGUGCCAGCAGCCGCGGUACUACAGAGGGUGCAAGCGUUAAUCGGAAUUACUGGGCGAAAGCGCGCGUAGGUGGUUAGUUAAGUUGGAUGUAAAUCCCCGGGCUCAACCUGGAACUGCAUUCAAAACUACUACAGAGAUGGUAGAGGGUGGUGGAAUUUCCUGUGAGCGGUAAAUGCGAAAAAAUGGAAGAACACCAGUGGCGAGGCGCCACCUGGCUGUCUGCUCUGAGUCAAAUCGAUAGU
rnacentral:rRNA from 1 species